CAAGUCGGACGCUCCGCAAGGGGCGUGGCGCAAGGGUGAGUAAGGCGACGGCCACCAACCCUGAGGUUGGGCAUAGNNNNNNGAAACUGCGGGUAAUACCCAGCGAUGUCACGAGAGGACAUCCUUUUGUGACCAAAGGUGCGAUUCCGCCCUGGGACGGACCGUCGUGGUAUCAGCUAGAUGGCGGGGUAAUGGCCCACCAUGGCAUUGACGCCUACCGGGCGUGCGAGCGUGGCCCGGCACACUGGGACUGAGACACUGCCCAGACUCCUACGGGAGGCUGCAGUCGAGAAUCUUCGGC
rnacentral:rRNA from 1 species